CCAGAUAGCUCAGUCGGUAGAGCAGAGGACUGAAAAUCCUUGUGUCGCUGGUUCGAUUCCAGUUCUGGCC
rnacentral:tRNA from 1 species